GCCUGAUGCAGCAACAGAGAUAAGCAGAGUUCACAGCAGACGCGCCUCUUCUUUCUGCUGAAACGUACGUGACAGACGUAGAAAUCCAUAAAGACGAGUGGACAAAGAGAGAAGGAAGAAAUAAAGGGAGAAAACGAGAAAAAAUAUGAAGAGAGCAACAUGUAGUGGGCGGGACCUGAGGGCUGAAAAGGUUUGUGGGCUAGAUUUUUCUCAGUGACGUCACUUUUACACAGUUUCCUUGAAUAGCACCUGUGUGCAUGGGGGCUGUCUGUCUGUCUGUCAGCUCUGGGUAAAAACAUAAGCCAUGCCAGCAAAAACACAUCUAUCAGUGUUCUCCACCGGCCACUGGAGACGGGCUGCGUGCGUCCUCUGCUGAGGCCGCCGUCGCCGCGGCUCCGGAUCCGGAUCCGGCUCCGGCGCCGGCCGCGAGGGCUCGGCCCCGCGGCUGCUCCUUGGGCUCGACCCCUCGGCCGCUCCCGCGUUUCCUCUGAGCCUUGGAGCAUUUUUUUAAACGUCUUUUGUGAAUUUAAAUGACUUUGAUUUUUUCUCUUUGUGCAGUGAAAAUUGCUCUUUUUUUGGUGCGGCUGCAAUCGACGCCCUUGUGGAUGACCCCAGGUGCCAAAUUCACAAAGGCAGCCGCUGACUGACGUGUGAACGCUGAGCAAACUGUUGCUGAGGUGGAUCCUUUAGAGCGCAGCGGGCGGCUGCUGUGAGCGGCGCCGUCUCCCCGUUCCGGCGCUGUUCUGGCGCUGUUCUGGCGCUGUUCCGGCGCUGGCUCAGCUCGUCCCGAGCCUUGGAUCGCAGCCCUGGCUGAUAACUCCUGAUCCUGACCCCGGGUCUGCUCCCUGCUCGCUGCCUUGAUCCCCUGCAGCCUUGUCUUUUCACUGAUGCAAACCCACUACUGCUUUGCUUGUCUCAAGAAACCUGUUCAUCUCCUCCUGUGUGUUUGCUGGUUGGCUUCUUGAACGGCUGCCAGCUCAAUCACCCAAUCUCCCCGUGUACGAGAGGAAGGCCGCUCAGAACGCUCAGAACGGGCCGUUCUGCUGAGAACACACGCCGUGGCCUUCCGCGGUCGGCUGCUGGAGGCGGCGCAGCGCGAUCACAGCCUGUGUGACCCCUGAGCUCCACAGGGAGAUCUGGACCACACGUCAGCUCACGGAGGCCACCUUGAGAAUAGCAGCCAG